rnacentral:rRNA from 1 species
GACGUAGGGCGCGAGCGUUGUCCGGAUUUAUUGGGCGUAAAGAGCUCGUAGGCGGCUUGUCGCGUCGAAUGUGAAAACUUGGGGCUCAACUCCAAGCUUGCAUUCGAUACGGGCAGGCUAGAGUUCGGUAGGGGAGACUGGAAUUCCUGGUGUAGCGGUGAAAUGCGUAGAGAUCGGGAAGAACGCCGGCGGCGAAAGCGAACUCUCUGUCGGAUCCUGACGCUGAGGUGCGAAAGCUGA